rnacentral:rRNA from 1 species
UGGGGAAUCUUGGACAAUGGGCGCAAGCCUGAUCCAGCCAUGCCGCGUGAGUGAAGAAGGCCUUCGGGUUGUAAAGCUCUUUUGUCAGGGACGAUAAUGACGGUACCUGAAGAAUAAGCCCCGGCAAACUUCGUGCCAGCAGCCGCGGUAAUACAGAGGGUGCAAGCGUUAAUCGGACUGACUGGGCGUAAAGGGCGUGUAGGUGGUUGUUUAAGUUGAUUGUGAAAUUCUCGGGCUUAACCUGGGAGCUGCGGUCAAAACUGGACAGCUAGAGUCUAGGAGAGGGAAGUGGAAUUUCCGGUGUAGCGGUGAAAUGCGUAGAUAUCGGAAAGAACACCAGUGGCGAAGGCGACUUCCUGGCCUAAGACUGACACUGAGGCGCGAAAGCGUGGGGAGCAAACAGGAUUAGAUACCCCCGUAGUCCCUGAGCGGGCUGGCAAGGCGCAU